ACUCCCAAAAGCCUAAGAAUAGUGUAUUGCAAUCAUCAACCUUCUUUUUUACGCUUUUGGGGACGAAAUAUGAGCGUUACACAACAAAUCAACAUGCCUGAGACUGGGGAUACAAAUUCUGGCACGGGAACUUACCUUGGCACCACACCGACGCAUCUUGGUUAACAGGAGGAACGUACCAUUACGAGGAAAAAAGGGGGGAGGGGUGAUCGCAGUGGUACAGUCCAGCUAAACGCUGGAAAAAAGUCUGGGUUCAGAGCUCGCGCUUUCAGCACCACGGACAGCAACUGAAGCAGAAGCCUGAACCACUUGAUGCUGGAAGGAGCAACAUUGAAACUCCUGUCCUCCUUCAAACCCAGCAGGACUGAAUCAUCUGCUGAGAUCCUGGAAAGGAGAAGAAUGAAGACAGAACAUCUGUGAGAGACUGAGAGGAACUCCAGAGGAACAGGGAGGUUCUGGAGAGCAGAGGUGGAGAAGAUGGAGGACUUCAGGGUCUGGAGGAGGAGCCCUGCAGAUCCAGAGAGCGCACAGAGCCACAGCAUCACUCCCACCGAAGGCCGCCCAACCCAGAUCUAUUCUGGUCACAUUUUCAAAUUUUACACUCAAAGAAGAAGUCCUCAGGCUUGCAUGGCAGAACAAAGGAUUUUUGUGGAAUAUUUGAUUUUGGACCCUCCUCCCUGCACGUCUGAAAGUAUUCUAUGAAGACGGCGUCAAAACCUUCUACAGCGCAGAGGAAGUGACGGCAGACCUUUUACACUGGGGUCUAGAGGGGCGGGCCUUCAAGCUGGGAGGGAAGGAACCCCAUCGCUGCUGGAGGUCAGAUCAGCUGCAUUUAUGUUCCAGGUGAUGCUCAACCAUUUCAGUGGUUUUGUUGUUUGGUGUUUUCUUUGUUGCAAUUUUCUUUUUCCCCUUUUAUUUUGUUCCUCUCUGUGUGUUGUUAUGGGGAAUCUGUCUGUUGUUUAUCAGGUUAUACUGUGGGACCAAAUCAUACUACGUUAUGUUAAAUGAAUCAUUAAAACUGAUUUCCGUUAAUGUGGCUCUGAAUGUGGUUAAAAGAAAUAAGAUUUUAUCUAAACUAAAGAAAGAAAAGGCCCAGUUCGCAUUGCUACAGGAAACACAUAUGAAUCAAAUUGACCAUUUGAAGUUGAAAAGAAAAGGCUUUAAAUAUAUUUACUCAGCUUGUGAUAAAUCAAAACAAAAGAGGGGAGUGGCUGUUCUUGUCUCACAUUCAAUUCAUUAUGAACAUAUUUCAGAACACAGUGAUGAUGAAGGAAGAAAUGUCAAAAUAACAGGAGUGAUUGAUGGGUCUAAAGUCAGUAUAAUUAACGUGUCCUGGGAGUAACUGGGUAUUUUAUACGAAUAUUUUCGACUUGAUGUUGGAGGCUGAGGGGACGGUCAUUUGUGGAGGAGAUUUUAAUUUUAAGAUUGAUCCAAAUAUGGACUCCUGCAAACCAACUAGUCAGACUAAUCCAAUAACUGGGAAAGUUAAAUCCUAUAUGGAAGAAUUGGGGGUGAUUGAUACAUGGAGAGAAUUGUAUUCCACUACUAAAGAUUUUACACAUUACUCAGCAUUUUAUGAAGUUUAUUCUAGGUUGGAUUAUUUUUUAUAUUUAGGGUGGAUAAAAUUAAGAUUAAAGAAUGCAGCAUUCUAACCAGGGAUUUAUCUGACCAUAAUCCUGUCUCCCCACCAACUCCAAAUGACCAUGAAAAAAACGAGACAUUGUGAAAACUAAAUUCACAUCUACUCAAUCAUUCUUUGACUGUGGCUAAAGUAAAGGAGGAUAUUAAAGAUUUUUUAGAAAUAAAAGAAACAGAUGAGGUUUCCCCAGUUAUUGUAUGGGACUCAUUGAAAGCAGUAAUGAGAGGGAAACUGAUAUCAAUGACCUCACAUCUAAAAAAAAAUCUAGAGAGGAUAAACUUGCACAUCUCCAAGGAAAACUAAAACUGAAAGAACAGGAGGAUGUAAACAAUCCAACCCCCAUUGUAGAACAAGAAAUUAAAAAAAAAGUUCAAGGUGAAAUUAAUGACAUUAAUACAGAGGAAGCCCAGAGAGAUUGAAUCUUUCUGAGACAAAAAUAUUAUGAGAUAGGAGGGAAAUCAGCCAAAUACCUGGCAUAUAAAUUAUGUAAGCAACAGCAGGAAAGUACAAUUAAUAAGAUUAAAGACCAUAAAACUAACAUCUUGGAAACCACACAGGAAGGAAUACAGGAAUUCUCUCAGGCGUUCUAUAGAGAAUUGUAUUUACAACUUAAAACUAUCGAUGAGAAUUAUGCUCAUUAUUUUAUUAACUCCCUGAAUCUUCAUUUAGUAUCAGAUAUUCAAAAUGUGAAUCUAACACAACUAAUUUCGGAGGAGGAAAUCAAAGCAGCUCUCUCUAAGCUAAAACCAGGAAAAGCAGUCGGCCAAGAAGGGUUUAAUACCGAGUGGUAUCGUUGUAAGAAUGAAGAGUUAGUCCCCCCUCUAUUGAAGACAUUUAAUUAUAUCAUUCAGAAUGGAGAACCCCCCUCCCUCAUGGAAGGAAGCUACAAUCACAGUCAUUCCAAAAGAAAGGAAAGAUAGACAGGAAUGAGGGAAGUAUAGACCAAUCAGUGUUCUCAACACAGACUACAAAUUGUUUACUUCUAUUCUAACAGGGAGAUUGAAAAAGAAACUUCAGAAUCUUAUUAAUUUAGACCAAAAUAGUUUCAUUCAAAAUAGACAAACAACUGAUAACAUCAGAAGAAUAUUACAUCCUUCACGUUUAAUUUUUAAUCAACUCUUCAACAAACUCCGGUUGUUUCCUUAAGAAAUCCAAACCAGCUAAAUAGUUCUAGUAGUGGAAUAAUCCAAAACUGUGAUGGUAAAUUUCUCCACCAGAUGUCACUGUUCUUUGUUUGACUAAAGACUUGAAAAUGUCCAUGUUUUUUUGUCCAAUCAGAACUAAACUGCAACUGCAGGAAACUUUGAUCUUCUGCAGAAUCUGGAGCUGUUCAAACACUCCCUGUUACUGAGGAACAAAGACGUCCUUCAGGAAUGUGGUUCUACUGUAGAACAUUCUUCCAAACCAAAACUGCUCCUCCUCCAACGAAAAAAAAAAGUCCCAGAGUUCAUCUGGAAGAUCCACAUUCUUUCAGUCAGAUCUGCUCUCAGGAUCAGACUC